AUCAGUGGUCGAAAUAUUCUAUUUAUAAAUGCUCGGGCGAAGAGGUAUAAGGUCGGCGAGUAGAUACAAACGACCUACACUCCCGUCGACCGACCAUCCGGUUGGAAAAAUAAAAUUUACUUCCAUCAUUCAAACGGGUGAAAAAGUAUUUUUUUCAAUUAAUGCCUAGUUUCAUUCGUUGUCUUGACAAAUUUCUCAUACUUUGCCGAUGGAAGGUGAAAGAUUUGUGAUAAGCUAUCAAUUUUCAAUGGAAUCAUUAAUUAAAUGGACGUAUGAUUAAUAUCUAUUAUAAUAAUACACGCCGAUAAUCGCGAGCCUGGAAAACGAAAUGCACGACGUAUCAACGUCCAGUGGAUAAUCAGAAACGAGGACGUAAUCUAACCUACUCGCCACGACGAUGUAUUUGAGGUAUAACCCGAGGUGAUAAGCGGUGGUCGUCGGACGUAGUUGAAGGUGAUCGGAGGUGGUUAGAGAUGGUUGCGGGUGAUCAAGGUGGACGAGGAUUUGUGCUAGGUAUAACACGAGGUGGUUAGCGGUCGUCGUUGGAGGUGGUUUGAGGUGGUUACGGGAUGGUUGCGGGUGAUCGAGGAUUCCAAGUAUAUGACAACAGCGAUACCUUAUCACAUGGACAAUGGCCCACCUCAUAAUCAAGCUUUACAAGUCCUCAUUAAGAUAUUAAAGGCUAUUAAUGAGGAUAGUCCAACGGUGCCCACAUUAUUAACGGACUACAUAUUGAAAGUUCUGUGCCCCACCUACUGAUCCACUGGUACAUAUCCUCCGACAUCUGAAGAGCGUC